rnacentral:rRNA from 1 species
GCUGGCGGCGUGCCUAAUACAUGCAAGUCGAGCGAAUGGAUUGAGAGCUUGCUCUCAAGAAGUUAGCGGCGGACGGGUGAGUAACACGUGGGUAACCUGCCCAUAAGACUGGGAUAACUCCGGGAAACCGGGGCUAAUACCGGAUAAUAUUUUGAACUGCAUGGUUCGAAAUUGAAAGGCGGCUUCGGCUGUCACUUAUGGAUGGACCCGCGUCGCAUUAGCUAGUUGGUGAGGUAACGGCUCACCAAGGCAACGAUGCGUAGCCGACCUGAGAGGGUGAUCGGCCACACUGGGACUGAGACACGGCCCAGACUCCUACGGGAGGCAGCAGUAGGGAAUCUUCCGCAAUGGACGAAAGUCUGACGGAGCAACGCCGCGUGAGUGAUGAAGGCUUUCGGGUCGUAAAACUCUGUUGUUAGGGAAGAACAAGUGCUAGUUGAAUAAGCUGGCACCUUGACGGUACCUAACCAGAAAGCCACGGCUAACUACGUGCCAGCAGCCGCGGUAAUAC